UACGACGGGUGCAAACGUUAUUCGGAAUCACUGGGCGUAAAGGGUGCGUAGACGGUAUGUUAAGUUCGUUGUUAAAGGCUCCGGCCUAACCGGAGUACCGCAAUGAAAACUGGCGUGCUAGAGGGUGAGAGAGAGAAGUGGAAUUCCCGGAGUAGCGGUAAAAUGCGUGGAUCUCGGGAGGAACACCAAUGGCGAAGGCAGCUUCUUGGCUCAUUCCUGACGUUGAGGCACGAAAGCGUGGGGAGCAAACAGG
rnacentral:rRNA from 1 species